UACGUAGGGGGCAAGCGUUGUCCGGAUUUAUUGGGCGUAAAGAGCGUGUAGGCGGCUUUGCAAGUCCGUUGUGAAAACUCGAGGCUCAACCUCGAGACGCCGGUGGAAACUGCAAAGCUAGAGUCCGGAAGAGGGGAGUGGAAUUCCUGAUGUAGCGGUGAAAUGCGCAGAUAUCAGGAAGAACACCCGUGGCGAAGGCGGCUCUCUGGGACGGUACUGACGCUGAGACGCGAAAGCGUGGGGAGCGAACAGG
rnacentral:rRNA from 1 species